CUCCUCAUCCCACAAUCCCCCGCGCCGCCGGGAGUUGGGGGAUACUCAGAUAAAGCGGAAGAAUCGCAUAGCUUUCUGGGAAAUGAAGUUCGCUCGCUAAAUUUAAACCACAAGCGUUCCCCGCCCCACCCCAUGCAUUGCGCGUGCGCACAUGGGCAGAACUGUUCGCUGUUGCCCUCUGGUGACAGUUGAGUGGUUAUGACCAAGGCUGGGGACAUGGGUUGCCGGAACUUGGGAGUCUUGGAGACCCGUGGGAAUGCUUUCCAUAGAGGUUGAACCCACCUAGAGGAUGGAAUAGGUUGGGGACAGGAAACAGUAAAGAAAUAGUGUCACUGUGAAGAUUAAAUGACACCAGCACAAAAACUGGAAUAUUAUAUAUAUAUAUUUGUACCUACAGCUAAUAAUGAGUAAACAUUUAUCUAUGGGCAAGUAAUAUCUCCCUCUCCCCCAUAUUUGGGAUUAAGCCCAGGGCCUUCACACUGAGCUACAUCACCAGUUGUUUUUUUUUUUUUUGUUUGUUUGUGUUUUUUGAGACACUAUCUCACUAUCUAGUCAUGCUGGCUCGAACUCACGAGGAUCAGCCUGCCUCAGCCUCAUUGCUUGAAUCAAACCCAGCAAGUACUACACAUCAUCACUGAGCCAGGCCCCUUACCGCAGCAGAUCAGGUGGACAUCAUGAGGAGAAGAUGGACGAGCCACAGACAUAAGGAGACUAACCCCUGCAUGUUGGGGUCCUGUAUUGGCUCUUGGUGACUGCAUGGAACUGUACACGAAAAAGUACCUCGUUCUCGGGACCUGUUCACCCUAAACAGAAAUGGAU